rnacentral:rRNA from 1 species
UACAGAGGUCCCAAGCGUUGUUCGGAUUCACUGGGCGUAAAGGGUGCGUAGGCGGUCGGGUAAGUCUGAUGUGAAAUCUCACAGCUUAACUGUGAAACUGCAUUGGAUACUAUUCGGCUUGAGAGUUGGAGGGGGGACUGGAACUGCGAGUGUAGAGGUGAAAUUCGUAGAUAUUCGCAAGAACACCAGUGGCGAAGGCGGCUCACUGGCCCGAUACUGACGCUGAGGCACGAAAGCGUGGGGAGCAAACAGG